GCAUACUUUAGAUCUCUGAAGAUGACCAAGCAAAGCAGAGACUAUGAAACCCACAUCAGACUUCUGAAAGCAAUUAUCUUUGACUAUGAAACACAAUGAAAAAUGAAUUAAAAGAGUAGCUAUGUGGAGAUGGGAAGGAAAAUUGAGUUAAAUGAUUCCGGGCUCUAUUCGUUGGAAUUACAUGGAGGAUUGUCAGAAAGAAGAAAUGGAACAGAGUCCUGAAUUCUUAAAUGUGUCGUGGAGACCAGGCAAGACUCUUCGACCUCUAAUAGGUGAGAACUACUGGUCUAAAAUGGCUCCAUGUUACCACUUAUUUGAAUUAAAAGAUGGAACCAGUCUGACAUGCACUUCUUAGUAGAAAUCACAGGUUACCUUUGGGGAAC